rnacentral:rRNA from 1 species
UUUUUGGAGAGUUUGAUCCUGGCUCAGGACGAACGCUGGCGGCGUGCUUAACACAUGCAAGUCGAACGCUCCUAGAGGUUGGAGAUUAGAGGUUAGAAGCUGGAUUUAAAGCCCGUGUUUCGGGCGGCGGGCUAAAAGGAAAGCCCGAGGUCUAAUUUCCGACUUCCAAUCUCCAACCUCCAGAAGAGAGUGGCGCACGGGUGAGUAACACGUGGGCAAUCUGCCCGGAAGACUGGGAUAACAGCGCGAAAGUGCUGCUAAUACCGGAUACCUUCACGAAGUCGCAUGACUUUGUGCAGAAAGUUUUUCGCUUCCGGAUGAGCCCGCGUCCCAUUAGCUAGUUGGUGAGGUAACGGCCCACCAAGGCGACGAUGGGUAGCUGGUCUGAGAGGACGAUCAGCCACACUGGAACUGAGACACGGUCCAGACUCCUACGGGAGGCAGCAGUGGGGAAUCUUGCGCAAUGGGCGAAAGCCUGACGCAGC